AUUGAACGCUGGCGGCAGGCCUAACACAUGCAAGUCGAGCGAGUGGCGGACGGGUGAGGAAUACAUCGGAAUCUACUCUGUCGUGGGGGAUAACGAAGGGAAACUUAAGCUAAUACCGCAUACGAUUGAAUGAGCCGAUGUCGGAUUAGCUAGUUGGCGGGGUAAAGGCCCACCAAGGCGACGAUCCGUAGCUGGUCUGAGAGGAUGAUCAGCCACACUGGAACUGAGACACGGUCCAGACUCCUACGGGAGGCAGCAGUGGGGAAUAUUGGACAAUGGGCGCAAGCCUGAUCCAGCCAUACCGCGUGGGUGAAGAAGGCCUUCGGGUUGUAAAGCACUUUAAGUUGGGAGGCGUUACCAACAGAAUAAGCACCGGCUAACUUCGUGCCAGCAGCCGCGGUAAUUC
rnacentral:rRNA from 1 species